rnacentral:rRNA from 1 species
AGAGUUUGAUCAUGGCUCAGGACGUACGCUGGCGGCGUGCUCUAAUACAUGCAAGUCGAGCGGACCAAUUAGAAUAGCUUGCUUUUUGAUUGGUUAGCGGCGGACGGGUGAGUAACACGUGGGUAACCUGCCCUAUAGACCGGCGAUAACUCGCUGGAAACGCGUGCUAAUACCGGAUAACACACCGAACGCGCAUGCUUCGGUGUUGAAUAGAUGGUUCUGCUAUCACUAUAGGAUGGGCCCGCGGCGCAUUAGCUAGUUGGUGGGGUAACGGCCUACCAAGGCGACGAUGCGUAGCCGACCUGAGAGGGUGAUCGGCCACACUGGGACUGAGACACGGCCCAGACUCCUACGGGAGGCAGCAGUAGGGAAUCUUCCACAAUGGGCGAAAGCCAUGAUGGAGCAACGCCGCGUGAGCGAAGAAGGUCUUCGGAUCGUAAAGCUCUGUUGUAAGGGAAGACACAAGCGCAGCAGUCACUGGCUGCGCCCUGACGGUACUCUUACUAGCAAGCCACGGCUA